GUUGAGUCAAGCUUCAAAAGCAGACACUUAUAUGUAAUCUGUUUAUCUAAGUGACAGAUGAGGACAAACAGGAAAUGGAAGAGUGGAGAAACAUUUAGAUCAGACAACAGAAGGGAAACAUUUGCAGAGAGAGGGAGAGAGAAAACGAACAUGCAAUAUGUGAUUCCCACCAUCUAUGGACCAAAUUAAUGUAACAUGCGUGGUUUGCUUGAAACACUUUCCUUAUUAAGGCCUUUGGAUUUAAUAGCAUCAUUUGGACUAAUUCUGCCAUGUUCACCCCAGCCAAGCAUCUCUUGCAGCUAAUAUGGCCUUAGAUUUUACAAGCUUUAUACCCCAGGAAUGAUUGCAAACAUCACAAUCUUGGCUCGUUUUUUAUUUCUUGUGCUGUAAAAUGUAUAGCUGAAAUAUUUAAUGUGUUUGUUUCAUGUGUACCGUAUUCUUCCUACCUGCUGUUUUUCUCUUUUGAUUCAAGCUUUUUAAAGGAAGGUUAACUCUAAUGAUACAAUUAUACCUUUGUUCACGGUAUAUUUUGUUUACUGAGGCCUUGACUGAAUCCAAAUGUCCUUGUAGGGGGAACUAGUAAAGCGCUCCCAUGCAGUAUUAAAAGGCACAAAUAGGAGCUUUAGCUUUAUGUGAGCUGACGAGCAACUAGUGCUAACAUUGCAACAGAGAUUGCAGAUGGAAGCAAAAAGGCAAUAAUGCCAGAGAAACAGAUUCAUCCACAGGAAAUCUCAGCUUUCCUGGAAAGGAUUGAAUGCUUAAAUUGAAUUGCUUGCAUACUGCGGGAUAAACGUGAGCAGUGCCAAGUAUGCGGAUAGGGACUGUUGGCCUGCCGGCCUGCCAAUCAAUCCGCAAAAAUAGGCAAGUAAAUAAUAUAGUAACAUAGAAAUGUGUAUGAUGUUGGGCUAUAACUGGCAGUUUACUCUGAGUUAGCCCAUCUAGUCUGAUUAUUGAUUGUUAUUAUUUUUUAAAAACAAUGUAUCAUGUUGUUCUUCAUUGUUGCCAAUACGUAGCGUUCCUGUUAUUGCUAAUUAAGGUUUUUAUUCCAGGAAAGUGUCACUUUCAAAGCACUAAUAACUGGCCUUAGUCAACUUUAGGUUGUCUGUAAAGCUUUCUGUUUGCACACAGCACUUAAGCAGUGUACAGUGGUACUAAUGGCAGACAGGGCCCGGCUGAUAUUAAUACCGAUAUUUGGUGACUUAAAAAGCCAAUACUCCAAUAUUUUUCUUUUCUCUUUCAAACGCACUAAACAUAAACAAAUUCUCCUGAUGUAUUUUAUGCGUCGUUAUUUAUUCACCUCCGCUCUGCUGGGAUCAGGCGGCUGUUGUGUUUGCGUCGUUCCAAACACGCGUUGAUGAAAGGGAAGUUGCAGACUGCCCUCCGGUGGACAAUCUAUGCAACAUCAGCACUCAUGACAUGGUUGAAGGAUGUUUCUCCUGUCUCUUCUUUUUUUAAAGUUUUCAUUUAUCAGCAACACUGUUGUAAAUGCCAAUACCGAUACAUUGGCGAUUAGCUAAUAUCGGGCAAUAAUAUUGUUGUGUUUUAAUGGCAGACUUUAGAUUUACAAAGCCCUGGUUGCUUGAUUUGAUCCCAAGGAUAACAACUGUACGCACAUUUUUUGUUAUAAAAUUUUAGCCUUAACAUGUGGGUCACAUCAUUAGUUCUGGGAGUUCAGACAUAUAUAAAAACCUAAAUUAUUUCCUAGUAGAGCCUGUAUAGUCAGUAUAACUCGCGAAGAUGGAUGGUGCUCAUUCACACUCUCUCACACUACUUUGUCAAAAUUCUCAUGAAUAUGUUUUUAUCUGGGAGUUUGUUUGUUUUGCGUGCGUAUGUUUGGACACAUACGCACAAAUAUUAUGGUGACGAGUUGCCUUGGUCAUUUUUGUUCUGUCCUUUGAGCUGUGACUCGGCUCUACAGUCCUUCACCGUCAUGUCCCUCUGAGUCAUGCGUCUAAUUUUCAGCCCACUCCCUUUUCUGUUAGUGAAUCAGGUGAAGGUCCGAGGAAAAGGUCAGUCAGACAUUCCCACGAAACCAAAAGGAGGAAGUUUUGAUGACUCAUACGUGCUCCUUGGUUACAAGAAAACUCUAGCAGUUUCAGAUAUAGUCUCAGCUCAUUUUCACCCAAACACAUUAAGUCAGUGCGUAUAAAAGCUUUUCUUGUUUUUGUUCUUCUUCUUUUUUGUUAUUUUCCAGCUUUUCCCAAUUCCUUUUGUGUGUUUCUAAAUUAUGUAUCACUUAAGCAAUGUUUGUGUGAAGCAGCGUGACUGGUCAGUUUAUUCUUGCUCAUAAUCAUCAUUCAUAUUGCUGCUGGUUUCCCUUUGGACACUGCUGUUUUUGAAUAAACAAAACAGGACUUCACAACUGAGCAGAAACGACUCGACAAUCUUGACUUACUGUAAAUGGAGGUGAGCUCACCCUCCAGUGUGGGCAUUGUGUACAUCAGUAUAUCAUCUGUUAAUAUUUCCCAAGAUUGUACAUUUCCAGACAGUUUCAUUUCCUUUUCAUCGCCCUAGAUUUUUCUUAAACUGCCGUGGUUGCAUUAUAUUUCUGCCUGUGUAUGGAACAUAAAUCAUGAUUGUAUUUGCUCUGUACAAUUCAUCUCUGUAUUCUGAUGCCUGUGGAUCAGGGAAAACGGUUCAUUUCCAUCCAUUUCAUUUGAAACCAUGUGUGCGUUGAUACUGGAAGGAACGCUUUUAAACCUAAGCAGCGAUCACGUUAAAUGUAAACUAAAAGUUGGAUGGACGGACUUGUUUCACUCAGCACUGUCUGUAUCACAAGGCCUUUUACUAAUUGUUGCCAAGUGGACUGAACACUGGCUUUUUAAGUGGGACGUCUGUAACAAUGGACAACUGAACUUUGCCUAAUGUUCAGGCUCUCCUUUUGUACCAUUACAAUAUAUGAAAAUAAAAUAAAGUUAAAAUUC
ensembl:lncRNA